rnacentral:lncRNA from 1 species
CAGGACUCCUGCCAUGAGAAAAAGAAUUAGGGAAAAUUAUUGUAUUCUCUGCUGAAACAAGAAUAAAGGGAAAAAAAACCUGCACACUCCCACUUCUGCUGCUUGGUGACAGAAAGGAAGAUGUCCUGCCUGCCUGCUAGAUCUGCUCAUAGGCAUCACUAACAGCUGGAUCUUGAUUUAUGAGCAACAAGGUCAACUGCCAACUAGAUCUCACUGAACUCAGCAAUCAGAAGUGAACCAUCAACAUCUGCCUUUCCCAGAAGCAAAAUCCUGUACACUUCUAAAUUCAGGGGAUCUGGACAGCCUCUCCAGCACUGAACAACAUUUCUUGCAGGAAACCCAGUAUUUGCCAUAUUGGGUUUAGUUGCAGUUCACUUCUGCUUCCACCCAAGGUUUUUCUUAGUACGGAAUUUGAAGCAAGGAUCGGUGUGCGCAGCUUGUUCUGUAGUUUCUCCUGCCCUCUGCUGGAUGCAAUGUUACAGCAACUCCAGGAGUUUCCCAUCUCCGUAAUGUCUGCGAUUGGUCGACGUGAAGAACUUAACCCCCUCUUCCUCCCUCUCAAGCAAGCAACUACUAC